AUCCAGGUAAUCCUGGCCUCAUAAAAUGAGUUGGCAACUGUUGCUUCCUCUUUAUUUUCUAGAAGAUGUUGUAUAGAACAAAUUCUAUUUCCUUACAUUUUUGGUAGUAGUAUCCAAUGAAACCAUCUGGCCCUAGGGAUUGCUUUUACAGGAUAUUUUUAACUGUGAAUUUAAUUUCUUGAAUGAUUAAAGGGUCAAGUUAUCUCAUACCUUGGGUGAGUUUUGGUAGUUUUUGAGGAACUGGUCUGUUUCAUCUAAGUUAUAGUAUUUAUAGAUGUAGAGUUGGUCAUAGUAUGACUUCACCAUCCUUUUCACAGUGAUGCCCCCUCUUUCAUUCCUGAUUUUGGUCAUUUGUGUCUUCUCUAUUUUCUUAUUUGUCAGUCUUGCUAGGCACAUAGUGUUUGAUAUUUCCUUUCACUUUUUGCUUUUUCUUUCUCACUUUUUUGCACUACAGCAGUGAUGUCCCCAAGCAUAUUUUAUGCACUUCCCAUGUCCCAAGAUUCUUCCAGGGGUCUAGAAUAGAGCCCCACACAUUUGUGAAUGGAUGAUAACGUCUUCUUUUGAAUAUGAGAAACACUCCCAGGUCUGGGGAUAGGUCCUUUGAGAAUGCAGUUCUGACUCCCUGAGCCAGAUUUGAUUGGCACCUUUUUCUGAUGCUGCCACAUGUAGCUCGUUAGGAGCAGCAGUGCCUGCUCUGGCUCCUGUGGUUGCAGGGGCUGGGGGGGGGCAGGCGGUUCAUCACUUCUCUCUCUUCUAAGCACCAGAAGUUCAGUGCACUGGUCAAGUAGAGGCAUAGUCACUGGCUGAUCAGGCUAAGAGUACAGAUUUUCCUUCUCUUUUCCUCCUGGUUCAUUUUUUUCUCCCUUACUUCUGUAAGUCUGCGGAGAAAAUAGUAGGGGGUGAUAGUCUGCUAGAUCUUUAGGAAUCACCCAAUGCUGAGAAGAUUCCUGGGUUUCUAGGUCUUCUGAGCUUAUGGUGGGGGGUUGAACAUAGCAGAAGAGGAGGGAGAUGAGGAGGAGUCAGAGAAGAAGAAGAAGAAUCCAGGGUGUUUCACUCCAGGAAGGAUAAGUGGUCUUCUCUGCUUUCAGCAUGAGGACAAACACUUCAUUCUUUAUUCCAAUGGUUUUCUAGUGUUUCCUUCAACUGGCCUAUCUUCAACUAUUAGAGAGAUAGAAUACAGAGGGCCAAAUAUGAGCAGUAUGGGCUUAGAAGAAAAGGAAUGGGAGAGUCUGUCCAGCUCACCUUUGCUCUAUGUCUGGAGUCUGCCCCUAGGUCAGAAAGAAAGGCUCUGUGAAACCAGCACAGUUCACCAGGAGAAUUUACCGUGGAGUAGAGCAAAAGCUUCUUGGUAUCAAAGAGUGUGUUUUGCCUGGCCCUGCACUCUAGAUAUAUAGCAUUCAGGCAUCUCAGAGAGUGGGGUUGGGAGAGGCUACGGCAGGAAAAAGUUUUGAGGAUUCAGCCGUCAUUCUAGACUUACAUGGGGCCGUGAUGCAGCUGAUGAUCAAGAGGUCCUCACGGAGAUACCAUGCCUCCCAAGAGGUGCCAUCUGGGUCACUCUGCACAUCAAAGCAUCCAGGUAACAGGCAACUUGGCUUAAUUGGAAACCAAGCCUGUGCAGCUAGAGGACAAUUCAGCUGAAAACGUUUUAGGAGCUUCUAGCAGUUCACUCCAUCCAUGAAGCAGGCUUUCUGGUCACUCAGCCUAUAGCUAUUGAUUUCAAUGACAACACCAGUCUUCUAAAAGCACUAGCACAGCCUGGAUCAAGGCCCUGGGUCUCUGCUCUGCUCUGUCCUCCUCCUCCUCACCAGCUUGGGCCAAACCCUCAAAUGAACCAUACAAGCAACCACAAAUAGCUCCAUGAACCCCAAAUCAUUUUUACCUUGAGAGCUGUCAUAAAAUUAUCAACAAAAUUCUAAAGCAUAAUUUUAAAUGAAUGACCUUAAAUUCCAUUCAGCUUUUCUGAAGUACAGGAAGAAAUUAAGUUAAAAAGUGAAGAAGCACUCUUAGAAAGCAUCCCUACAGUGUCCUUUUCGGAGACUUGAUCAAGAUUUAUUAAGUUGUAAUUACAUGUGAAGCACAUAACUGGUUACACUGAUGAAUACAAAACAAGCAGCAAGCAUGGUCAACCUCGAGAGACUCACUCUGGUUUGAAGACAAUUAGAUUUGGGACCAGCACAUAAAAUCUAGAUCUUCUGCUUGCGUGCCAUGUGUUCAAGCUCUAGAUUUGUGGACACAUUAUUAAUAAAUCUAAAGCUCAAAGGAAAAUCUGUUAAGACCAGGGCAAAAAUACUCCCUCAGGGUAUCUUUGUGAAGAAUGCAAUAACCUGUGUGAAUGCGGUUGAGCACGGUGUUGGCACAUAGAGUGUCCUUUGUCAUAUCAGCUGGUCAGAUGGUUACAGGGAUGAAGGCUUGCAUCCAUCAGCUUACUUAUCCAGUUGGAAAACCAAGAAAAAUAUACAUUAAACAAUGAGGAAAUAACCUUAAAUUAUGCACUGGCUGUGAGAUUAACUUCAUCCUUAUGUUAUGAAUGGGAUAAAGUGAAAAAGCAGCGCUUGUGGAGCAACUCUGACCGAGAAACACCGGGAAGGGUGGACACAUCAGUUGGGUCUAAAAAAUGGGCACAGUUUGGACCUGCGGAGAUAGAGCAGCCAGUGGCGGAACAACCAAGAAUAAAGACAGAGACAAAACAAGAAGGGGACAUGCAGCAGCCCACAUCCAUAUGCAAGCCCUCAGAUGCCGCACGUGGAACCAAACGAAAUUAAAACAGUGUGUGAAACUCAAGUAUAACUUGGCCUCUGGCUAUCCCCUCAACUAAGCUCCCUGCCUCAUCACACCAGAAACGACACAUCCUCAUGACUCCCAGCUUCAGCCUCUCUGCCAGAACCUCUCCGGGAUUUCUGGCAGAAGAAUGAGCCUCAAGACGCAGUCAGCAGGCAUCAUCCAGAGGCAAAGUAUCUUCCUUGACUGUGAGCCCUCUCCCACCGGAAUCUCUCGUAUUCUCCAAAGGAAAGAUUGUUUUCUCCUCCUUGAAGGGGGUAAGAUCAAUACAGACCACUCCCCCCGGUAGGCACUGGGGGUGUGCAGGAAACCCCUCCAUUAGCACAUUGAGUGUAAUCGUUUGUUUACUCCCCCAAGCACCCCAGCAAGCUCCUUGCAAUGGGGCAGGGGGAGGCAUCAACCAAAUUCAUGAUAACGUCUAGUCAUUAAGCUAGAGCAUCUAUUUCCUGUGGAAGAGAAAAAUGACCUGUGUUAGAAAAUGAAGCGGCGGAAAAGAUUUCGCAUUUUUACAAACAGAGCCUCGGCUUUCUGUUCCAGACAGCAGGCAGGUGCUCUGUGCAUGUUACCUCCCUUGGUUAUUACAACGGUUUUAGGAGGUUGGUAAAUGUUUCCAUAAUUUACAGGUAGUGAAACAGAUGCCACUUGGAGAGAUGACAUCACAAAGCUGGAAAAAUAGGAAAAUGGGAAUGUGAGUGGGCUUGUCUGACUUAAAAGCCUGUUCUGGGAUUUCCCUGGUGGUGCAGUGAGUCAAGCAUCCAGCACUGCCACUGCAGUGGCUCAGGUCACUGCUUUAACCUGGUUCGAUCCCUGGCCCAGGAACUUCCAUAUGCUACAGGCACAGCCGAAACAACAACAACAAAAGCCUGCUCUGAAUAUACUAAAGGCUGAGGCAGAUUAUAAGACCUGAGAAGGAGUAAGUUACAUUGUAGAGUCCCUCAUUCAUCCACAUCCAUGAAACUCGGGGCAGUGAUCUGUGAGAUAGGAAGGGCAGAUCAAUAAAUGAAAAUGAUGUGCAAAUGUAAGCACAGAGAGGUGUGGAAGACGAGCAUUUGAUACACACAAGAGGUCUGGGGACAGGGUUGUGAGAUAACAUUCCUUUACAUCAUUACACUUCAUUACGGAUGCUUCACACUCCUAAAUUUUGUAUUUAUUUGUGGCUUUUUUUAAACACAGUCCCGUUUUGAUAUGAAAGUCAUGCUGACAAAACAAGAUUGAUUAAAGUUUCUAAUUAUCUGUCAUCACAGCAUGACCAGUGGCAAAUGGAAUGCAUUUUCUCAUUUCUUCCAGAAAAAAAAAAAAAGGAGAGAGAGAGAGCUCCCUAAUGCAAGACACAAAGCUCUUCUGGUUCACUCAAGUGCGCAGUAAAAACUGCACGGUAGGACAAUAAAAUGGGUAGGUGACACCCCACAGCCUCCCAGCAAAGCUAAAAGCAAUCAGCCGGAGCCAAAAGUAAGGACUCCAUAAUGCCUGUUCAAGGCAGACACCUUAAAGAAUACUUAUUCUCUUCCUGUCUUUAAUUUUGGUACCAGAUAUAACUGGAUUAUAUCUGUCCUUCCUAUGAUAGCCAUGAAAUUACCCUAUUGAAAUUCUAUGUAAGUGUCCUACUUACAGCAACACUAGGGGCUACAACAAAUAACUCUUAAAUUAUCAGUGGCUUAACACAGAAGAAAUGUAUUAUUAUCUAGGCAACAGCCCAAUGCAGGUGUUCCUGGCUCAUCGGCAGCCUUCCAGAAGGUGAUUCAGGGAUCCAGGCUUCUAGUAUCUGUGGCUGUCCCAACCUCUCCAGCCUCCCUCAGAGUCCUCUGAAUCCAACCAGUGGAUGGGGGAGAGGCCCAACCACUUUUUAACCUCUUUAGCCUGGAAAUGGUACCUUUGACACAGUUUAUGGCAAGAACCAGUCACAAUGCCUCGGGGGGCUGGGCAGACACUUCCCAGGAAAACUCUCCUCCCUGGAACAGCAGACUUUGGUGGGCAGUGAGUCAUCUUCCCACUGCCAUUUCUUUUGCCCAUCAGUAUUCAUGGCCCCCUUUUCUCUAGACAUGCAUAAACUUAAGCCCUCUUUGGGACUCACUCAAUACUACAUCCAGUGCAAAGCACAGGAACUCUGGAAUGAAAAACAGUCAUUUCCAUCCAGUUUUUACAAAGUUUCUGAGGGUAUAGUAAAUCAUGCCC
rnacentral:lncRNA from 1 species